ensembl:lncRNA
AUGGCAUGGUCAGGUCUCAUUCUCAAGGCAGUGAACAUCAGCAACGGGCUUUUCAGCUGGGGAGUAACAUGGUGGGAUUCCCGAAGGCCGAGAAAGCACAUUGCGGAAGGAAAGGAAAUCUGAAACUCUUCUGGGAGACCGAAUGGAGACUUACCCAGAUGGAGAAUGGAAGACACCAAGGCAGAGACUGUGGAGUAUGGGCAAGGAGAGUGUGGCUUACACUGUGAGCCAGGACCCAGGACCCUGACGCUCAGACCAUGCAAGAUACGGUGUACAGGGACCACGUUCCACUCAGAAGCCAGGUCCAGCCAAGCUGUACCGACAGUGCUAACUCGGCAGGAAUCACUGUAAAAACGAGAAUCAAUUACAAUGCCUUCCCCAUCAAAUUGUUUUAUUAGGUUAAUUAAAC